rnacentral:misc_RNA from 1 species
AGCAGCCGCGGUAAUUCCAGCUCCAAUAGCGUAUAUUAAAGUUGUUGCAGUUAAAAAGCUCGUAGUUGAAUUUCGGGGUUAGCAGGUCGGUCGUGCCAUUGGUAUGAACUGGUCUCGCUGAUCCCUCCCUCUUGACGAACUGUGAUGCCAUUAAUUUGGUGUCGCAGGGAAUCAGGACUGUUACUUUGAAAAAUUAGAGUGUUUAAAGCAGGCUCACGCUUGAAUACAUUAGCAUGGAAUAAUGAAAUAGGACGUUUGAUCCUAUUUUGUUGGCUUCUAGGAUUGACGUAAUGAUUAAUAGGGAUAGUUGGGGGCAUUAGUAUUCAAUUGUCAGAGGUGAAAUUCUUGGAUUUAUUGAAGACUAACUACUGCGAAAGCAUUUGCCAAGGAUGUUUUCAUUAAUCAAGAACGAAAGUUAGGGGAUCGAAGACGAUCAGAUACCGUCGUAGCCUUAACCAUAAACUAUGCCGACUAGGGAUCGGAUGAUGUUAAUUUUUU